rfam:Pongo abelii chromosome 7 P_pygmaeus2.0.2_Contig58832.1, whole genome shotgun sequence.
AAGCCGAAAGCCGAUCAGACAAACAACCUACAACCCUUAGCUCCUGACAGUGCCCAGUCAAGCUAUGCUUCCA